rnacentral:rRNA from 1 species
UACGUAGAGUGCAAGCGUUAAUCGGAAUUACUGGGCGUAAAGCGUGCGCAGGCGGUUUUGUAAGUCUGUCGUGAAAGCGCCGGGCUCAACCUGGGAAUUGCGAUGGAGACUGCAAGGCUUGAAUCUGGCAGAGGGGGGUAGAAUUCCACGUGUAGCAGUGAAAUGCGUAGAGAUGUGGAGGAACACCGACGGCGAAGGCAGCCCCCUGGGUCAAGAUUGACGCUCAUGCACGAAAGCGUGGGGAGCAAACAGG